AGUUGCGGAGUCAGGGGUUCUACAGAGAGGGUCAAAAAGCCGAGUCAUAAGAAAAGGGGGCAGAAGCCCAAGGCUGAAGAUACUUUUAAAGGGCUGGCCAUCUACUUCCCUAAAGAGCAAUGGGCUGAAAUGGGAGAAUGGGAAAAAAUUCGUUAUAAGAAUAUGAAAGAAAACUAUGAGUUUAUGACUCAAUUAGGUCUUCCUACACCUAAACCAACAUUUAUGUAUCAUGCACGGCAACCUCCCAAAACUACAAAUGAGUCCUCUGAGUCCGAUGAGGAAUGGACACCAAAAUCUAUAGUAAAAUCUUUUAGAACACCAUGUAACCUGAGUAGCUGGAAAGAGGAAAAGCAAAAAAAGUACCCUCUUGAUCAAAAUAAGCAAAUAAACACUAUGGGGCUUACUUCCAAAGACCAUGAACAUAUAAAGAAAACUGACAAAAAUACACAUGCAGAUGUUCAUACUACAGACAUUGCAGCAGAAUCAA